rnacentral:sRNA from 1 species
CUAAGUGUUGGGACGAACCAUAAAAUGGCGUUUCUCGUUGAGCAAGAACUGAUUUCUGCGCGAUAUUAAAAUUAUAUAGUUAUCAACAAUUAAAGCGUGGACCGUGCACCUUAAUUCUCGCCAAAUAAUGUAGUUUUAGUAACGAAUUACAAAAAAAAAAUUGCAAAAUCCAACGGUGCAUGCAGCUAAAGUGCUUCAUCCGCAUUCAGUCGUCGUUGUUCAUAUAUCAUUUGCUCUCUCGCCGUCUCUCUUUCUCUUAAAUUGUCUGCACGCUGCCUGCAACGACUGUGCACCGUGUCUGUGUGUGUGUGUGUGUCAGUGUGUUUGUGUGUAACAUGUGCGUGUGAAAUGGUUUUAAGGCAGCGGAGCAGCAUCAACAAACCAACAACAACAACAACAACAGAGGCAAAACAGUUUAGGUUUGCAUUCGCAGCGCCAACAAACAACAACACAUGAC